UACGGAGGGUGCAAGCGUUAUCCGGAUUCACUGGGUUUAAAGGGUGCGUAGGUGGGUAUGUAAGUCAGUGGUGAAAUCCCCGAGCUUAACUUGGGAACUGCCGUUGAUACUAUAUAUCUUGAAUGCCGUAGAGGUAAGCGGAAUAUGUCAUGUAGCGGUGAAAUGCUUAGAUAUGACAUAGAACACCAAUUGCGAAGGCAGCUUACUAUGCGGUUAUUGACACUGAGGCACGAAAGCGUGGGUAGCAAACAGG
rnacentral:rRNA from 1 species